UGUUUGAAUGCCGAAAACACUUUGACAAGAUGUUACAACGGUUGCUGCGAAUGCUUAUAUUCACGAUCAUAUCUAGGUACACCGCUGGAGACUGGUGCCUACGUACGUACAAAGGUUGCUGCCCGGGCUUUAGCUUGAAUUCGACAACUCAACAAUGUGAACAAUGUAUGGCAGGCUACACUGGGUGGAACUGUUCAAUACCGUGUCCGUAUCCUACAUACGGAUGGGGCUGUCAAGGAUAUUGUAACUGUUACUAAGACUUGUGUGAUAUUUCUAUGGGGUGCAUUAUUUUUACUACAG